CCCACUUCAUCAACAGGCCAUAAUAUAAUAUACAUGUCAAACUUCAUAAGGAUUCCAAAACACUGCAAGAAAUUAGAACUUUAAAAUGUUUAAUUUUAAUACCCUGAAAGCCCAAAAGCCAACCCCUAAACAGAAGAAAAUGGACAAAAGUGAAUAUGGAACCAUUGAUCAUCCAAUUAAACAUCAACCUCAAGAAACAUCAAUUCACCUAAGAAAACAAUGUAACCGAAGCAACAGAAAACUAAAUUCCAAUUGCAUCAUUAACCCAAAAAUAAAAACACUUUCUAGCAUAGAAUGGAAAGAACAAAUAUGCAAUAAACAAAAGCACUCGAGAUCUCCAGCACUGAAAUCUUCAGAAAAUGUACAACAUCCAGUCAGGCACCGAAUCGAAAUCCCCCAUUGUGAGCUUCCAGAUUCGUACGGCUACACUCAGAAGCAACAAUUGAGGAGCCGAUCACAUCAGAGUUGGAACAAAUAUAUAUGUUUACUCCCACACCUCCAACCUACCCCGACUCAAAAGUCCGAACGGUCUAAUAAGCCAAAGCAAUCCUACGAGCUUCCAC
rnacentral:misc_RNA from 1 species